UGGGGAAUAUUGCGCAAUGGGGGGAACCCUGACGCAGCCAUGCCGCGUGAAUGAAGAAGGCCUUAGGGUUGUAAAGUUCUUUCGGUAUUGAGGAAGGUUGAUGUGUUAAUAGCACAUCAAAUUGACGUUAAAUACAGAAGAAGCACCGGCUAACUCCGUGCCAGCAGCCGCGGUAAUACGGAGGGUGCGAGCGUUAAUCGGAAUAACUGGGCGUAAAGGGCACGCAGGCGGUUAUUUAAGUGAGGUGUGAAAGCCCCGGGCUUAACCUGGGAAUUGCAUUUCAGACUGGGUAACUAGAGUACUUUAGGGAGGGGUAGAAUUCCACGUGUAGCGGUGAAAUGCGUAGAGAUGUGGAGGAAUACCGAAGGCGAAGGCAGCCCCUUGGGAAUGUACUGACGCUCAUGUGCGAAAGCGUGGGGAGCAAACAGGAUUAGAUACCCUGGUAGUCCACGCUGUAAACGCUGUCGAUUUGGGGGUUGGGGUUUAACUCUGGCGCCCGUAGCUAACGUGAUAAAUCGACCGCCUGGGGAGUACGGCCGCAAGGUU
rnacentral:rRNA from 1 species